CAAAUGUAUAUAGAUUUUAGAAGGCAUUCCUGUAAACUUAUAUUCAUGAAGAAAGUCAGAGUACUUGUUGCAGAUGCAAUGCUAGGUCUUCAGCCAUGUGCUAUAGAAACAGAAGGUGACAAAUAUAACCAAGGAUUGGGAGGAGAAAAAGAAGAAAGCCAAUUUGGGAAAUGAGACUGUAAAGUUUAUAAUGCUACUGAUUUUCAAACAUUUUCAGAAGCAAUGGAAAGAAGAAUGCGAAGAAAAUGAGUUUAUUUUCCAAAAUGCUUUUUUUGUUAUUGUUUUGCAAUUUCCCUUUGUUAACAUCAUAUAGGUUAUGGGGGUUUCUGUUUUGAAAAAAAUAAAUACUGCACCGUGUGUGGAUUGCUACUCAGCACUCAGCAAUAAACAAGUCAAUGAAUGCUCUAGGUUUUAAUGAAUUCGGUUUUACUUCUUUACAUCUACUUAUUAGCUUCUCUACCUAAGAUGUGUACACG
rnacentral:lncRNA from 1 species